GCAAUCCGCCCGCCUCGGCCUCCCAGAGUGCUAGGAUUACAGACCUACCUACUGAAUCAUCUAAGACUGGGACCAAGAAUCUGAAUGUACUGAGUUUCGUAUGUCCCUCUGUGCACACUACAGUUUGAGAAUGACUGCCCUGGAAGAGACAGGAAAGAAAUGGAUUGUUUGGCCUCUGACAACAACAUCGAUGGGCCUAGAACUAAAAAGAUCUUGGAAACAAGGUUGCCUGACCCAUUUUGAAUAAAUAAGAGUUCCAGGCGUUGCUGGAAGCACAGAUGAACAAGGUGGCACCUGCGCUGGUUCUGGUACCCGUGGCCCAUGUACUCAGGGGAGAAAUUAUCCAUGUGGCAUGCUGGCUUGGCACUUAGAUCAACAAGAAAGAACUCUACCAAUCUGCUUGAGGAGUGAGCGCUUCUUUUUAACUGUUCUCAGCACCGUUCUGAAAUGUCUUUGUCUCACUGGUGCAAAGCUGCACUAAGGAUUUUAACACUGUAUUGUGCAGCCCCUCUGUUAAACAGUAACACCCAAUAUAAAACUUUCAACCUAGGCAUAAACAUCUGUUUCACUUCAAUGGUUCAAAAGUAUUCUCUGUCAACACAAACUCCCUGACCUUUUAGCUCCUUGCUAAAGCUGUAUAAAAUCAGCUUCUUCUGAGCCACUUGUUGAAACUUGUAAAUGGACUGAUUUUUCUGGUAUUGUGGUUGAUCAAUUGCAUGAGCAUUAUCAUUUCUUGCCCACUGAUCAGAGGAGCUGUAGUUGCAUUAUAGAUGAAAGUCACAUCCAGCAUUCUGUAUGGCUUCCCUGUCAACUCACGUCAUCCAUGUGGAAAGAGCCAUAUGUAUACUAAAGAUUUCAAAAUCUAUUUGAGGCCCAGAAUUUAGUAGAGAAUGUUUUUGUCUAUAUAGUGCAUUGUUACUUUCACCCACUAUUGUGCUAUGCAUACAUUUUGCCUGUAUUAUCUCAUUUAAUCUUCAUGGUGAUUCUCUAAGGCACAAGGAAAUUAAAAUGACUUAGGUAAGUUCAUUAUAAACUAUAGAACCAGGACUUGAACCUGGGUCAUCUGACACCAGAGCUCUUAUUCCUAACCACUUCAUUUAUACUGCUUCUCCAAGAAUUGCCCUCUAUAGCUAAAAUUCUAAAAUAGAUGUUUUUUUUAUAUUUGUUAGAAGAAUGAAUUCUGAGAACAUAAAAACUAACUCUUAGCCAAAAUGGAAGCUUUCUACUAGUGUACUGAAAAUACAGCUAGAGAUCAGAGGCAUUUAUAUUUACUUCUAAUUUACAAGUUGGUACACAGGACCAGGAAAUGUGGCAAUGAGACUAUUUCUGCCUUUUUAGACAUUUAGCCCAUUACUUCACCGUAUAAUUGUUCAGGUGCGUACUCCACAGUGUCCUUUAGCUGCCCCACCACAGUCCCAAGGUCCUGUGGAGCUAUUUGAGUAGAUGUGAUGAGGGUUUAUUUCGCAUAAAGGAUGA